UACGUAGGGUGCAAGCGUUUGUCCGGAAUUAUUGGGCGUAAAGAGCUCGUAGGCGGUCUGUCGCGGUCGGCUGUGAAAACCCGAGGCUCAACCUCGGGCCUGCAGUCGAUACGGGCGAAACUGAGAGUACUGCAGGGGAGACUGGAAUUACCUGGUGUAGGCGGUGAAAUGCGCAGAUAUCGAGGAGGAACACCGGUGGCGAAGGCGGGUCUCUGGGGCAGUAACUGACGCUGAGGAGCGAAAGCGUGGGGAGCGAACAGG
rnacentral:rRNA from 1 species